CUCGACAUCAGGAAACCACAACACUCAGGGACUUCUGCAAAUGAUUUUGGUGGAAAAUCAUCUGACACAGUCAUAAGGGCUCGGUUUGCAAGAUCUUCUCUGGAAGCUGUUAACUUGAGGAAAUGCUGAUGAAUAUCCCCAGCAGAAGAGCCAUCAUGUCGGCACCACCAUCACCAGCAGUCCUUUCUACAGAAUGCAAACUUCACUACUGGACAAGCAAGUUUAGCAUUAGAAGACAAGUCAGAACACAAAACGAAGAGAAGCCGCAUUCUUUGCCACAUUAGCAUUGUACAAGGAACACCUGAACUUGGCAAUGAUUCUGUAAUUAAACAAAAUAAGAAAAUGUAUUUUCUGGUCAAGACAUUGCAACAUAUAUGAGACAUCUGGAGCUUCUGUACCAGAAUUCCCAUUAUUUACCAGUCACCUUUCCAGUCAUCACACAGUGGAAUUUUCAUCUUCUGAGCCCCUUCUCAGUGGCUACAGGGAAAUGACCGAAUAAAAAUAAUGAGAGAAGCUAAAGUGAGAUCA
rnacentral:lncRNA from 1 species